CAGCAGCCGCGGUAAUACGGAGGAUCCAAGCGAUAUCCGGAUUUAUUGGGUUUAAAGGGUGCGUAGGUGGCUUAUUAAGUCAGGGGUGAAAGACGGUAGCUUAACUAUCGCAGUGCCUUUGAUACUGAUGAGCUUGAAUGAACUAGAGGUAGGCGGAAUGUGACAAGUAGCGGUGAAAUGCAUAGAUAUGUCACAGAACACCAAUUGCGAAGGCAGCUUACUAUGGUUUUAUUGACACUGAGGCACGAAAGCGUGGGGAUCAAACAGGAUUAGAUACCCGUGUAGUCCCUGUCUCUUAUAC
rnacentral:rRNA from 1 species